AGAGUUUGAUCCUGGCUCAGGAUGAACGCUAGCGGCAGGCCUAAUACAUGCAAGUCGAGGGGUAACAUGACGCUUCGGUGUUGAUGACGACCGGCGCACGGGUGCGUAACGCGUAUGCAAUCUACCUACAGCAGAGGGAUAGCCCGUGGAAACAUGGAUUAAUACCUCAUAAGACAUAUUGAUCACCUGAUCGAGAUGUUAAAGCUCCGGCGGCUGUGGAUGAGCAUGCGUCCCAUUAGCUAGUUGGUACGAUAACUGCGUACCAAGGCGAUGAUGGGUAGGGGUUCUGAGAGGAUGAUCCCCCACACUGGUACUGAGAUACGGACCAGACUCCUACGGGAGGCAGCAGUAGGGAAUAUUGGUCAUGGACGAAAGUCUGAACAGCCAUGCCGCGUGCAGGAAGACGGCCUUCUGGGUUGUAAACUGCUUUUCUCAGGGGAAGAAAAAGGUCUUGCGAGACAAAUUGCCGGUACCUGAGGAAUAAGCACCGGCUAACUCCGUGCCAGCAGCCGCGGUAAUACGGAGGGUGCGAGCGUUGUCCGGAUUUAUUGGGUUUAAAGGGUGCGUAGGCGGCCUAUUAAGUCAGUGGUGAACCGGUAUCAGCAUUAACUGACUGACGUGCCAUUGAAACUGAUACGGCUUGAGUACAGACGAGGUAGGCGGAAUUUAUGGUGUAGCGGUCGAAAGUGCAUAGAUACCAUAAAGAACACCGAUAGCGAAGGCAGCUUACUAGGCUGAGACUGACGCUGAGGCACGAAUAGCGUGGGGAGCGAACAGGAUUAGAUACCCUGGUAGUCCACGCUGUAAACGAGUGAUUACUGGAUGUGUGCGAUAGACAGGUACGCGUCUGGGCGAAAGCGUUAAGUAAUCCAGCCUGGGGAGUACGAUCGCGAGUAUUGAAACUCAGUAGGAACUUGAGCGGGGGUCCGGCCCAAGCGGUGGAGCAUGUGGUUUAAUUCGAUGAUACGCGAGGAACCUUACCUGGGCUAGAAUGCGAUUGACCUCUUCAGAGAUGGAGAUUUCUUCGGACAUGAAGCAAGGUGCUGCAUGGCUGUCGUCAGCUCGUGCCGUGAGGUGUUGGGUUAAGUCCCGCAACGAGCGCAACCCUUGUGUUUAGUUACCAGCAAGUAAUGUUGGGGACUCUGAACAGACUGCCGGUGAUAAACCGGAGGAAGGUGGGGACGACGUCAAAUCAUCAUGCUCCUUAUGUCCUGGGCUAGAAACGUGCUACAAUGGCCAUUACAAAGGGCAGCCACUCCGCAAGGAGGAGCGAAACCGAAAAAGGUGGUCUCAGUUCGGAUUGGGGGCUGCAACCCGCCCCUAUGAAGUUGGAGUUGCUAGUAAUCGUGGAUCAGCAUGCCACGGUGAAUGCGUUCCCGGGGAUUGUACACACCGCCCGUCACACCAUGGAAGUUGGGGGCACCCAAAGUCAGUGACCUAACCCGCAAGGGAAGGAGCUGCCUAAGGUGAAACCAGUGACUAGGGUGAAGUCGUAACAAGGUAACC
rnacentral:rRNA from 1 species